rnacentral:tmRNA from 1 species
GGGGGUGUUCCGGAUUCGACCCUUGGUUAGAGUGCGCAGCUGCCUGUCGAGAGCCGAAGGCCUCUCGUAAAUCCCCCUUCGAACAAAACAAACGGCAAUAACGAAGAAAUGCUAAUGGCCGCCUAAGUGCGGUCACGUUUUCACUCCGACUCCUGCUAGGGGAUGAAAACGUCGACAGCAGGAAUAGCGGUUGAGGGCCGUCAUGACCUCGCCGCCGUAUCUUCAACCAUGGCUGGCCAAAGGGGAAGCGCGCGUCCACGCGUCCCUCGAGGCGAGAUCCAAACCGACGCUAUAUAGGUAGAUGCUGCGUGCGAAGGCCUGGGGCACAGGGGUUCAACUCCCCUCACCUCCACCA